CCCUGGUUUGCAGUUGGGGAUCCUCCUUGUUCGUUUUGUGCUGGCACAGUUGGUGCAUUGCUUCAAUUGGGAACCUGCAGAUAAUAUAAAGUCAACUGAUUUGGAUAUGUCGGAGACUUUUGGCUUAGUACUCUCAAGAGCAAAGCAUUUAAAGGUUGUACCUACUUACCGAUUACAAGAAUGAGUAGACAGUGUGGGCUCCAACUUUUAUCUAUAUGUCUGUCUAGCUAUACUCUCUUUAGAAGUAUCACAAAUUUUAUUUGAUUGAGAGCGUAAGCAAAAUUUGGUUCUAGUUUUGUUGAUGCUCAAAUUUCCCUGUAAACAAUAAUUGCAUACAUUGCAUUGGAUUUGAAUAGUAAUGACAUAAUCAAGGAUAAAUUACAUAUAAUCCCCUAUGGUUGCAUAACGACAGAUGACUCCUCUAGGAUUCCAAAAUAACCACUUAAUUCUUUUGUGGUUUUAUGUAAAAUGUAAAAUGAAUAAAAUGCAUAAUUAAUUACCGCGAUCAGAUCACACGUGCACUAAAAGUGUGUGUGAUCAAAUCUUAUUAUCCAUUUAAAUCCCCUAUGAUUUGUAUAAAUAUCCACUUUAUCCUUCUGUGUUUUUGGCAUUUAUCUACAUAAUCCCUUUAUGAUUUUGUAUAAAGUGGUUAAGUCAUCAUUUGAUCGAGCAUUUAAGUAAGGGCACUACUAAUAUUUCAAUUAAUGAUGUUAUAAAGGCUAUUUUCUUCUAAAUUUCUAGUUUACAUGAAACCAUAUAGGAGUAAAGUAGAUAUUUUGAAAUAUUAUGAGAUUAUGUGGCAAUAGAUAAAACCACAUGGGGACUAAUGGUAAUUUGCCCUAUCAAUCAUGUUAACCAUUAGAAAAAUGAAGGCUGCAAUAUACUUCUAAUUGAACUAGCACUAUGAAACAUUUAUAACCCAUCAUUAAUAGAAAAAAAAUAGAAUGGAAAAAAAUUCACUAAAUAAAAAUUAUAAAAUGACAUAAAGGACAACAAGAAGUUAAUCACAAAGUUGAAAAUUUCAAAUUAAAUGACAUAAAAAAAAGAAAAAAUUUAGGUCACUCAAAUCCCUUGGAAAGACAAAAACAUUUGAUGCAGAUACCAAAACAAUAGUAUAAAAAGAAAAGGCGCCCUCAAUAGUGAAUAUAAGCUAAAUUUUCCAUUCGGUUGUCACUUCUACCUUAAACAUUGUAUUGAUAUAUAAGUGCAGUACUAUCAAUAUUUGAUGUUUUAGGGUUAAAGUGACAAAAUAUCUAAACAGUUCAGUAAAGAAAAGUUUUGAAAAGGUUGAUCUAUAAUUGUACUUUCAAAUAAUAUUUUGAAAAAUAAUUGGUUAAAGAAAAUAGAAACAUAGCAAUUUAUAUUAUGAUGUUAACAAUCGGAAUUCCACAAUUUUAAUAUCUAAAAGAAUAUUAUAUUUUUGAAUAAUAUAAUCACAUGUAAGUUUUUUCUUUUCUAAUAAUAAUCACGUGUAAGAUAUGUGAGCUAUCAUUAGUUUCUGAAAAUGUUAACAAAGACGUAUUAGCAAGGCAUACUUAAUUCAAGACUUUGCAUGCACUUUUGUGUCUUCUUUAACGUUUUUCUGGUUGCUUCUUUUCAAUUCAUAGAUGACACAAACAUUUGCCUAUUUGUCAAUUUUGUUACUUUUGUUUCCAUCUCUUUCUAAAGAAGCUGCUUCCUUUAACACAAUAAAAAUAUUACAAUAUACUAGUUAAUAAACAUUUUUCCUUGAACUUGAAAGCCAGGAUAUGAAUUGAGUUUUCUACCUUCUCAUCUAAAUUUGACUUAAUGGUACAUCUUAGAUGGUUAAUUUUAUUUCAUUCAAGUGCGAGCUGAGUGUCGCGCCCCAAAUUUAAAUGAAAGGAAAAGUGUAAGAAAAAUGAGUUUUUUUUUUAUUUUAGAAAAUAAAGAUGUGUACCUUAAAAAAUGCGACGGUUUGGGCUCAAAACUUAGUCUAAAAGGGUUUUUAAGAAAAUAGAAAUUGCCACUUGGUAUCGAAUUUAAGUGUACCAAAUCACCCAAAAAUGUUUUUAACAAAAAUAAAACAAAAUAAAAAUAAAACACUUUUCACAAUUCCAAAUAUUUGAAAAACAAUAGGAAAUGAGUUCGAGAAUCACGGUUGAAGCAAAGAAAGGCAAAUGUUCGAUUGAUUCAAAGUUAAGGCACCCUUUCAACCUAGUCUAAACUAAUUGCAAGAUUUAGUCAAAAUUUUUUUAAUUUAACCUUUAAAUUUAUCACAUUUGAAUGCUUCCUAUAUAAAUGCAAACCUAAACUUAAAAGAGGAUAUCGAAAGGGAUAAAAUGUCCAUUCAAGAUCUAAUUGGUAUCAAUCGUAUUAAUUGCAUAGUCCAAAUUAAUCCAUUGAAAAGAUCACGAAUAUGCAAAGAUGAAAUUUGAAAAAAGAAAAUUAAAUUAUAUACAAAAGUAUAAGUGACCAAAGAAAAUGGAAUGCAACAUGAUGGGUACGGAGAACUAAAAUUUGUGACUCGAUCUUUCUACUUAUAGAGAGGAAUAUGAGCAUGUUAGGGCUAAAAAAAAUCAUACUCGUCUAUUUCCCUUAUUCGAAGGGUGAUUCUUCUAACUUAUGCAAGCAAAUGAACUAACAUAUUCCCUAAUUACUUAAAUAAAAUACAAGUCUAAAUAACAUGGUUUGCACAUGUAGGGAUAAGGGAUUAAUAUAGAGGAUAUAUCAUGCAAAUCGUAAUAACCUAAAAAUGAAAAAAAUGCAUAAAAUACAAUAAAUGUCAUAUAAAGUAUGAAUCUAUCAUGUAAACGGUCUAAAGGGUUUAACAUUGGACUAACCCAAUUCUAUAAGUUAUCACUAGCGUUGGACUAGAGAGAAAUCGGGAGAAAAGUCACAACUAGUAUUGGACUAGUGUGGUAAUGUCAUGUAUUCAUUAUAAAUAAAUAAAUAAAGCAUAUAAAGUAUAAAUAAAACAAAUAAAUAAAUAAAACAUAUAGAGCACAUAACACAUAAAAUAUAAUAUCUAAAAACAAAAACCCUAAGAAAGCGAAAGAACGUAUAACCACACAAGUAUGCAAGCAAAUAAAAACCUAACCAUUACAUUUGAGAGUCCUAACUACAAUCUAAAAGGAGAGUUUUGACAAUAAUAAAUCUAUCUAUUACAUUUAUCUAACUAAUUACAUGUUUUGCAAACAACAAAAAUUAGUUGUUACAUUGCCUAUCUAAUUGCAUUUCUUGCACAAGAGGGUACGAUCUAUCUAUUACAAUUUGGCAUUUAAAUGCCUUUCAAAUAAACAUUGAAAUUAAAUAAUAAAUAAAAUCUAAGAAUGGAUGAAAUGAGUAAAUAAAAAUACAUAAAACAUACAAUCACACAUAAAAAACACAUAGGAGCACAUAAAAAGAGUUUAAAGAAUAAUAGAGGGUACCUUUUUUGAAAUAGUGGUUAAAUGAGAUAGAGUUUGCCUUAUUUUACUCCAAAACCAACAAAAUGAUCAAGGCACCAAUUUAAUUUAUAACACUUUAAAAGAAAAUGUAAACAUAUAGCAAAUUCACCUUAUUAUUUUUUAAAAAAUAUGAAUAAAUAUAAAAAUCCCUAACAUUUACAAAUUAGAUGCAUUUAAAUGAAGCAUGAUUAACAAUUAAAAAAAGAUAAACAAUUGUACUUAAGAAAACAAAAACCAUUAGGGACUAAAUUUCAAAAAUUAGAAGGUUUUCAAGAUCAAAAAAUAUUUUAAAAAAAUUAGGGGUCAAAAUCAAGUAAAAAUAAAGUUUAGGGACCAACAUGUAAUUAAAUUAAGGACUUAAGUGAAAUAAAUUCAAAAUUUAGGGUUAUAAUAAAAUUAUUUGAAAGAUCAGGGGCCAAAUUGCAAAAUUCAUUUCUGAUUUGCCAAAAUUGCAUACAAAAACCUUGUUGGGCCAUUUUAGGGUAAUUGUGCUGCACCACCUUGGCCCGAGAAAAUUAAACCAAAUUGUAUCAUUAAGGAAAAUAUCCCGACCCGACUUAUUCUACCAAAAACUUAACAAAAGUAUUGGGAUUGAAUUUUGUAGCCCAACCAUAAACUUAAGCAAAAAAAUAAACAUUAGCCAUUUCUUAGCCCACAAACAUAAAUAACCUCAACUCAACUAGUUUUGACACAACAAACAAAACAAAGAAAAAUGAGAAAAACAAAAGCAGAAAGAGGAUGAAGAUUUCGACGGGUCAGCCCGUCGGGAUCUGAAAAAAUUUCGACCAUAAAUCUCGUUGGAAGUUAUUUUUAAGGGGGUUUAAGGUCGGAUUUUGAUAUAAACAUGCUCUUCACAGUCUCAUGAGUUCAUUUAAAUAUCAAACAAACCCAUGAAACACCACAAAUCAUGAGAAGAAUGAGAUCUAAGACUUAAACCUACGGAAACACAUGUAAUGGUUUAAAAUCACAUGCACAACAUUAAAUCAACCAAGGAAGGAUGCCAUAGUUACCCAGGGAUGAUGUUGAACUCAAGUAGACAUGGGAAAUCGCAAGAAAACACACCCACCUUCUUGGAUCGAAGCAAACUCGACCCAACUACAGAAAUUCAAGUGCUGAUGAACUGUCAACUUCGUGCUUGAAUUCGAGGGAUCUAGAGGCAUUUUUUCAGGAAAUUUUCAAAAUGAAAGUUGCUCCCCUACAAUCGUAGAUGGUACAUUAACAAAGAUCUCGCUCAAUAGACUUCGGAUGAAGUCCAAAACCGAGACAAACAGCGCUGGUUCGUCAGCCCUGUUUUGAUGUUUUUCUUCUUUUUUUUUUUUUUAAGAAAAAAAUCUCUUGUUUUUCUCCUUUUUCUCUCCCCUAUGCUUAGCCGACUUUCCUAACCAUCUCCCUCUCUCUAAAAGCUGCAUUAUUUUCUAUUUAUAAGGGACAAA
rnacentral:lncRNA from 1 species